GGGGCUAUGGCGCAACGGUAGCGCUUUCGACUCCAGUAUCGUCCGGACAUCGAAGGGUUGUUGGUUCAAAUCCUGCUGGCCUCA
rnacentral:tRNA from 1 species